rnacentral:lncRNA from 1 species
GCCAAUCAGACCUUGGCGCGAUACAGAAAGACAGUGCACGAGCUGGAUGACGCAGAGGAGCGGGCUGGCAUGGCGGAGACUGCCCUCAACAAGCUGCGUACCAGGCACCGCGUGGCCGGCAAGGGCAUCACCUCCGUGGAGAUCAUCCAAGUGUCCAAGACAGGUUCCUCCAAAACCCUUUCUGAGGAGUAAGGUCCUCCAAGUCCGAGGCCACAGCCGGUAGGUGUGAACGCCACUCUCACUGCCGAGGUUCCAAUCUCACCUCCGCAGCACCUGCUUUGCUCCUGGUAGUGACCAGAGUGCCACCUAGUGGUGCUACCUAUGCUUUAAGGCUUGCAGUCUCUUGGGUCCUAAUCUCCUGCAACAGGAACCCUGUAGCUUCCCCCAUGCCUCAGUGGCAACACUCCUCUGGAUUCUCACACCCUUCCACUGGGUGCUGUCCACCUGUGUCACAGGUGCUGGUAGUGGAAGGUGCUGUCUGAGUAGAAGGCAGCUUCUGCAUGUGAUGCCACUGACCCUAGACCUGGAACACAGGUGCUCAGGAUACAUUUGCUUCUUUUUUUUUAGGGGUGGGGAGUUUACUGGGGAUUGAACUCAGGGGGACUCGACCACUGAGCCACAUUCCCAGCCCUAUUUUGCAUUUUAUUUAGAGACAGGGUCUCACUGAGUUGCUUAGCUCCUUGCCAUUGCUGAGGCUAGCUUUGACUCGAAAUCCUCCUGCCUCAGCCUCCCAAGCCACUAGGAUUACAGGCAUGCGCCACCAUGUCCAGCCAACACACUUGAUUUUUUUUAUCUUUUUCUUUGACAUGCUGGGGAUAGAAUCCAGGGUCUUGAACAUGCUAGGCAAGUACUAUACCACUGAGCUAUACCCCCAGCCCUCAACAUGCUUGUUUUCACUGGAGAGCCACAGGGGAUAUUGAUAAGCACAAGGGACAAUGAGCAAUCUUCUUUCACAUCCCCCACCAUAGCAUUCUUCAUGGAGAUUCUUUCGAGACUGGAUGAAUUUCAGUUUCUAACAUUAAGAAAAUAAUCACCCCUGUUGCAGCUACCAUUCCUUGAGCACUGAGUACAGGUGGGAUUUCAAGAGGACAACUUAAAAUAGCCCUUUCCUACUCCCUUUAAUUCAAAAACAAUUGAGAAAAAGAUAUAGGAAACAAAAAUAUAAAAUUCAAAUGCCCAUUCUAUGCUAUAAUUCUAGAUGAUAAAUCUAGAAUUAUAGCAUAGAAUAGGUUCUGUUGUGUGUUCACACAGACAUCCUUGUACUUCACCUCAGAAUUCACAGGCCAAGGACAGGUGGAUCCAAAGGCAGAGCAGAUAGGGCUCCGCCCUGUCUUCCUGCCUCCUCCUUCCAAGCAUAGGUUAAAUCUCUCCUCUCUCCAUGCAGAGAUGCAAGGGAAAGAUCAGGAGAGAAGUAAAGGACAUUAUUCUAGAGCAGUGUUUCCCAAAAACUUGGUCCCCUGGACCAGCAUCAUCCAGGUCACCCAGAAAGUUGUUAGAGAUACCUACUGGGCUUUGCUCCAGACCUACAGAACCAGCAUCUCUGGGGCUGGGUCCAGCAUCUGGAGUAUAUAUAGCAAGUCCUCCAUGUGACUCAGAUAAGUGAACAAGUCUAAGAACCACUGAUAUAGCUGGAAUCUGCCCUUCCAGAAACAGAGCCAGGGAACAGAGGUUUCUCCUACUUACACAAGAGCCAGGGACAUGGCAAAUGCUGCUCACUAUCUUAUUUACCCUAUGAGGUGGGUAUAAAUAUCCCCACAACUCAGAGAAGUCUGACUGCCCAUGGUCAUGCAAACCCCAUGUUCUGAAAAGGCAAAUUCUUUGUUUUUAAUUUGAAUUAUUAUGGAUAUUGAUAAGGUUGCCCUCUGCUUGGGAUUAACCAGAAUAGCUCAAAAUCAAGGGCUUGAUUCAGGUUGCGGAGGGGGGGGGGCAGGGGAGACAGAUGGUGUUUGGAGCAUAAACAUCAACCUGCAUGGAUUCUGGGGAUUACUUCUGGUCUUCUGCUUACAUCCAACAGGGCCUUUCACAGUCUCAUCCCUGCCUAUCCUGCUGGCUUCGGCUCCUACCACUCUCCAGCUCUCUCCCUCAUCUGAGCCCCUCUGCUGUAGUCAUGCUGUUCCCUUGUGAGAGUCCCACUUCUGCACUUUUGUGUGUGCGGGUCUCCUGUCUGGAAGGCCCUUCUCUCCUUUUUUUUGCCUGGUGAAGGAUCAGUUUUAUUUAUUCUUAUGUUAUAUUUACUUGGCCUUAUGUUCAAACAUCUGGUUGAAUCAUACUUACAGUUCACAAUCUCUCAGGAUCAACCCUCUGGCUUUUAGCCAAAAAGUGAUAACCCAGAUGACAUCUGAAUUCAAGCUUAGCCUUAUCUUUCCACUUGGUAGGGAGGAAACAAAAAUAAGGCACAAAAUCUUUUUUCUUAAUUUUCUAAUUCUGAAAUAAUAGCUCAGAAAGUUAAGGAAAUCAGAGGCUAUCUUUUGGAUAAGUCCUAUAAUUAACAUGUAACCAACUCCUUUAAGGGCAUUAAUCUGAUAGGUAUCCCUCCUGCUGGGCUCUCACUUGGGUGGGAUUAUUUAGGAGGCCAGUCAAUUGGCAUUUCAGCCUCUCGCACCUAAGUCUUAGCUUCCAAGAUUAAAUAACUUUUAAAGCAGAUUACCCUGCCCUGUUUUGGGGUCUUUAUUCCUGGGGUCUGCUGGCCUUGGGGGUCCAAUUGCUCUAUCAUAGCAAGACUCUGCUUCCAUGGCACCAGGCCAGUACUGCCACCAGUGUCCAGAGGUGAUGAGGCUGGGCAACUGGGGUCUGCUCUUCAUGUACUGAUCCACUUCCCUCCUUAGCCAUUUCCUCUUAUUGGUUACAGGGAUGGAUACAUCAUCUGUGCAAUGGAAUUCCUCAAGCAAACUAGCAAAUGAGCCAGGACCCUGCCUUCAUGUUCAUGAGCUACAACAGAAUUUAAUUUCUUAAAAUGGCAUCAUAUCUUUCCCACACAUAUUGACCCAGCUCUGAAUAUGGGCUAGGCCUGUGCUCUUGGAUUCAGAGGUGAAUAAGAAAGAAUGUCCUCCCCUGAGAUACUCAGAAUCAGGCGGAGCAGUAGAUGUAUGCAUCAGUCACGAAAAGCAUGCAAGCCAAUGUUCCGUGAUAUACUGUUUGCAUUUCAUGGGAGGGGAUCAAAAAACAGGAGUGACUGGCUCAACCCAGAAUGGCAGGGUAGAGCAUUUCCACAGAGACAUGACCUGUUCUAGGUCACUCACUAUUUGUUAAUCCUCAUGACAACAGAAGUGCAGAAACUGAGAGGAAGUUUUUAGAAAUUUUUAGAGUGAUUUACACGAUGACAUCCAAAUACAUGAUUGAUGUAUUUUACAGAAAAUCAGUCUCUAAUAUAAUUACAAUUAAAUAAAUAAAUAUGGUACUUUAAAAGAAAUUUAAAAGAGACUGAUCCUUCACCAGGCACAGAAGGAGAAAGGGAAUUCCAAAGAGAAAGCCCAACAUAUGCAAAUGUGCAGAGGGGUAUCAGGCACAAUGGCACACACCUGUAAUCCCAGCUACUCCCCAGGAUGCUGAGGCGGGAACAUUACACGUUUGAGGCCAGCGUGGGCAAUUUAGUGAGACCCUGCCUCAAAAUGAAAAUAAUAAAGGGCUUGAAAAGUAGCAUGGUGGUAGAGUGCCCCUGAGUUCAAACCCCAGUACCACAAAACAAAAAUGGUACAAAAAGAGAGAUUUUCACAAGGGCACAGCCUGACUGCAGCAGAGGGGCUCAGGAUGAGGCUGGAGAGCUGGAGAGUGGUAGGAGACAGCAAGAAAAGCAGGGGUGAGGCUGCGAAAGACCCUGCUGGGUGCAAACAUACCAUAAACUUUGUAUGAAAGUCUCACUGAUUUUUAAAAUCCAGUUGUGGGAUGUGAUGAGGAGCAGGUUUUCUCUUUGGAGGAGAUAUUCAUGUCACAAUAGCAAAGCAAGCCUUUGGGCCCCUCAUGAGAAACCACAGGCAGGCUCUUGGGAAUACUCUGGCCCUCUCAAUGGGCUGUGAGGCAUUCAGGCCUACUUAAAUGUCCAAAGAAAGUGUCUCUAAACCCUCAUAUCAUGCAAAACAAGGUAGGUGUGACCCAGUGGUAUCCAUGAAAAGGAAGCCUGGGCAGCAGCAGCCUAGGCGUCUCAGGGAGUUUGUAGCAAGAAGGAACAAAGAUGUCAGAAUCCUCAGCACUGACCCAUAUGGACCUUCUUUCUCUCUCUCUCUCCCCCAAGGUGAUACAGAUUUCAACAGGAGCCCACUGAGAGGAAGAAAAUGUGAAAAUGGAAAAUUGGGUCUAUCCUGAGAAUGUUUACUAUGCAAAGGAAAGUACAAGCCAGAAAAAGUCAAGUGCUGAAGAAUAAGAAUAGCAAUGGGGGAAAAUUAUUUUGGGGAUAUAAUAUCCAGUCAUUAGAGAAAUUAAACUUAGUGUGGCUUCUUUGGGGCUGCAUCAAAAAUUUGGAUUACAAUAACAAUUGGUCUGUUUUAGUUGAGAUCUUACAUGUUCAUGUCAACGACAGAAUAUGUGACCUGGCUGUUCUCUAGAAAGAAUUCCUCAUGUUGAUAAUUGUAAUGCCUGUCUCUGUCCCCAUAUAACCUAAAUAAAAGAAACAUGAAUAAGGGAUUGAGUAGA